rnacentral:RNase_P_RNA from 1 species
UUUAUAGAGGAAAGUCCGUGCUCCACAGAGCGAAGAUGCUGGGUAACACCCAGUGGGGGCGACCCUAAGGACAGUGCAACAGAGAAAUACCGCCACAAAUGUGGUAAGGGUGGAAAGGCGAGGUAAGAGCUCACCGGCGGUUAGGCGACUAACUGGCCCUGCAAACCCCAUCUGGAGCAAAACCGAAGCGAUACAAAUUGCUGCUGCUCGUGGCAAAUCGAGAAUGGUAGGUUGCUAGAGUUGUUAGGCAACUAACAAUCAAGACAGAUAACUGUCAAAUACAGAACACGGCUUAUAGA